UUUAGGAGGGGCGAAGCUCCUCUUAUUGUGAGGGCGAGUUAUAUAACACCAUAGGACUGGCCGUCCCAUAUGAAAAGAUUAUAUUAGAAUUGAAUGAAGCUUUGUUUAUAUAUUGAUAAUGACAGUAUAUAUAUCGUGUCUUGACUAAUUGCGUGCCAGCAGUCGCGGUAAUACGUAAGAGACUAGUGUUAUUCAUCUUAAUUAGGUUUAAAGGGUACCCAGACGGUCAAUAUAGCUUAUAAAAUGUUAGUACUUGACUAGAGUUUUAUGUAAGAGGGCAGUACUUGAGGAGGAGAGAUGAAAUUUCGUGAUACCAAAGGGACUCUGUAAAGGCGAAGGCAGCCCUCUAUGUAAAAACUGACGUUGAAGGACGAAGGCACAGAGAACAAACAGGAUUAGAUACCCAAGUAGUCUUUGCAGUAAAUGAUGAAUGCCAUAGGUUAGAUGGGUGGGCUCGUCUAGUUGAGUUAGUUUAGCAAACUAAUGAUCUAGACGAGCCCACCGUAUAUUUGGUCUAUAAAUGAAAGUGUAAGCAUUUCACCUCAAGAGUAAUGUGGCAACGC
rnacentral:rRNA from 1 species